rnacentral:lncRNA from 1 species
AAUGAAUUGAGUGUUAAUUCCUUGAAGUGCAUAUUUAUUGGCUUGCAGGUUUUAUUUAUUUAUUUAUAUUUGGGCCUUGAAAAAAGAUGGAUGUUUCUUGGAAAUCCACAUGCUCAGAUGGGGCUGAGCGGUUCUAACUUAAAGAAAUAAUGCCAUAUCUUUCUCUUCCUGAUUUUUUUCCUCAUUUCAUGUUCUUCAAAAAUCAAAUCCUUAAAACUUCUUGAACAGCUCAAUUU